UGCUGGUGAUGAGUCUCUGCUUCAUCGGCUUCGUUACGGCCCUCCACGUCUUCGGCAAGCUCUACCGCUAUCGAUCCACGGCUACCGGCGGUUCUUGAUCCGCCCGCCGCCUGAUCUGUCUGUAAAAGAUCUAAGCUUUCUUGUUUUCGUUUCCUUCCUUUUUAGGUCAAGCUCAAGCUUUCCUUUUGGACGAUCCUUCAAGACUGAAAUUUUCUGUCCUAGAAUAGAUCGUUUCCAGUUCAUGGUUCGAUCUAGAUCUUUCUUUAUGCGAUAAAGAUUCUGUCUUUUUUUUGUGUCUAUCAUUUUGCUGAUCGGCUUACGUUCUUGGAUGGUGGAUUUGCUUGCAAUUUAUGGAUGAGAUGAUGAUUGAUAAAUGUCAAAGGCUGUAGAUAUACCUGAAUUCGGGCUGAUGUAUGUGUGGGAACGUUAUGAUGAUAUUUCUGCAUAUAGAAAAUAAGCAAUGAAUUCAUUAGAAGAGCAUAUUUGUUAAUUUAUCUAUGAAGCAAUAAACCAAUACAUUAUUUUGCAGUCUUCAUCAUCUAGCAUUUAAUAAAUCUCAACAUUCAUGAUCCCCGUUUGCAGAUCUGCUGGCUUUUAUUAUUAUGGAUCGGUUAAUUUGACCUCCUUUAUUUCUGCAUUGAUUUGUAUAUAACUUCGAAUCUUAAUGAACCAAAAUCCUUUUAUCAUUUUCUUUCUCGUGAUUCUGCUGCUCUCUUUGGGGGAGUUUGCAUUUUUUCCCCCCUCCAAAAGCCAAAAAAUUAUUAACUAGAUAUAGGUCAAGUAACAGCAGUUGCUAUGCAAGUGAUGAAAUAAUUUUGAUGCAGUAUUUGUUGUGAAUGGUUCCCAGAUUAGGAGUCCUGAAUAUUUAACCUAUUGCUUAUCAGCUUUAGAUGCGAAUGCGCUUUGCGACAGAGAGUGGUAGGCUUGCAUUUUUGCAUAAAUUUGAAUAAAGCAGAAAUUAUAUGGGAUUAUUAAACUUCCCAAUCUUUAGAGUGCAAUGGCUUUUGAGUAUCAAGGGCGAGGACAUGCCAAAAUGGGAGGCUUGCAAGGUUGUCACUGCCAGGUCACGUUUACCUAUUGAUAUAAGAGUGUGAUCUGAGAAUCCCAUCAAAGAGUAAAGAGUUUAGCUAAAUGCCUAUAUCAGGAGGAUAAUCCCAUGUAACAACCAUAGGAGGUAUCUAUGUUGAAAGCAACAACUAGUAGAGUCAGGGGAAUAGGAAUUACUUCCUAAUCAUAUGUAAUUCGACCUAAUCUAUUGUCUGUAUUCUAUGGCUUGUAGGCUCUUCCUUCACUUACUGUGGUGAAGAAUUGGUUUCUACAAGUGGAUCUCCUACUACUCACUCCCGUAUCCUAAACAGUUAAAUGUAUGGAAAGUGAGAAGAAAAGAAUUUUACUUGCAUGCAAGGCCCUCACAUUUUUUCCCUUUUUACUUUUUAUCUUCUUGCCGGCAGGUUUAUAUUAAUGUUUUCUGCUUCCUCUCACCUGCUGGUGCAUUGUUUUGCUCAAUUUUUUUAUUGAUUUGUUUUCUCUUCUGUUGUUUAAUAUCUUUUGUCCUCUUCUGAGGUGCCCUUGCCUUAUUAUCCUCUUUCUAAUUGGCAUUUUGCUCCCUCUUUUCCAUCUUAUAUAGAUUUGUCUGUUCCCUUUUCUUUUUCUCUUUUAAAAUAGAGUUUAUCAUUUUAAACAAGUAGUCCAUUAUUAUGUUAAUUUGAAGUAUGUUACAGAGAAGAGUGUGAAUGCAUGCACAAUGUAUUCGGUAGAAUUAUGAAUAUUGAGAUGGACGUUCUGUGAAAUUGGGGAGAAUAAAGAGUAUGAUGGAGGAGGAGGCUUAUGGGCGGAGUUGCUGAGAACUUAGUUAUGGAAUCCAUAUAUUGAUGGUUUGGCCCCAACUACUGAGGGCUUAAGUUAACAUGGAUAAGAGAGGAGGGGGGCUAUAGAAUAAUGGACUAGAGUUGUCAUGAAUGCUUUUCAAAAGUCAUUAAGUGGAAAGAGAAGGACUUAUGCAUCUAAUCCUGUAUAAUUGGAUAAGAAUUGUUGCUAAUUGUCAUGGUAUGCUUUCCUCUCAGACUUGUUCUUGACAUGGUUUAGAGCUAUUAAGUCAAUGCAGGGGAUCAGAAUCCCAGAUAGAAGGUUUCAUCUAACAUCUGUUGGAGUUUGCUUCUUGGUAGUGAUUGAUCUAUAUAUAGAAGACCUAUUGGUUCUAGAUUACCAGGCCUUGAAAGAGUUUACAAAGAACAAGAAAGCAAAGUGCUUUACCAAAAUUUUAUAAGAAGUCAAUAGGACAGGAGAUAGCAUUCGUAUGCUUCUGCUUUUCUAUACACAAUAAGAAAAUCUCUUUAGGGAGACAUAAGAAUGAAAUUUGGUAAUGGAUGCAAAAUUGUUUUCUAAAAAUGUCCGUGGACCAAGCUAGUUUCCAUGCUUUAAAUGAGUACCCGUAAAAGCAAAUUAGACCUAAUUGUUAUGAUGAAAUUGCAUUCAGUUCUCUGUUGACAUUUUUGAACUAUGUAUGGAUAAGUUCUUUGUUCAAGAUGUAGAUUGUCACAGUUUUUUUUGUCCCAUUAUCAUCUUUGAUUAAAAGAAAAUGCUAAUCACAAGUUCUUCCAGAUUGCCUUUAUGGAGUUCUGGAAUUUCUUUUUGGUGCCGCUUUUCAUUUCUUUAAUCAUAUCAAUUAUUUCUUGCACACCCCCCUUCCUUCCACUCCCCCUCAAAGCAUUUAAGUCUAGAUUUUGACAAUACUGUAAGUUUGUCAGAAGAAAAAUAUAUCAUAUGAUGGCAGUGGGAAUAACUGCACUGUGCAUGUGAAUGUCUGGUUUGCUUGUACUCAUAAGACUCGGACAUGUACACAAAAGACAGAAACAGAAACAUGCAUGCACAUCUACAUUUUUAUUUACUCUUACUGAUGAGAUCCUUAGAGAUUUACCUGAGUAUCAUUUCUCCUGUUGAGGAUGAAGGUGAGAUCCUUGGGCUUUUAUAUUCAAUUGUCAUUUCUGUUGCCUGGAAUAAAAGAGAUAUUAAAACAAUUAAUUGGAGCCAUGUCCAUUUUAUUGAUCAUUGCCAUAGAUCUGUGACUCUGUCGGCAAGGUUUGCCAUGUGUGAUGUGGAAAUGAAUGCUUAACCUGAGAUCAGUAGGGUGAAGAGGAGGCAGAGAGUUCUUUUGCUUGGCAACUUAUUUUUUUCCCCUAUAGUAUUUUGUUUUGCAAUUUUUCCCCUGGUAAGUCUGCAGUAUCUUUCCCAACUUAAAUUAGUCCUAUUAUCCAGUGUGGUCUUUUGCAUUCUAUGUAGCUUUAAUUUUCCACGUUUCGUCGUUGAUCCCUCUUUGUGCAUUUGGUAUUUGAGUUUUGUCUGAUCUCUGUUUUGUUAUUUUACUUUUAUCUAUAUAGCAGUUAUGUUCGAAAACACUGAUUCUCUAUCUGGUUAAAAUUGUUCUUUUGCCUAUUAAAAUGUUCGGAUCAGAUCGCUUAGGAUUAUCCUAAUCUUUGUUCCUGCCAAAUCUGUCAUCCUAGCCUGGAUCCAAUUUUUUUUCCAUCAAAUCUUGGAUUAUCAAUCAAUCGAUGAUAUCAUCAAAUAUACAUCUCCUAGAAAUAAAAAGAAAAUCUGACCAUUAUAUUCUCAUACCAGGUAUCUUUUUUUGGUUCACAUCACCUAGCAUUACCCUACUUUUAGUUUUGCUUUCAUUUUAUUAAUGCUUUUUGAGGGAAUUCAUUUUAUAAAUGUGUUCAUUGAAUAGAAGCCUGACCUGCAUAUUAU
rnacentral:lncRNA from 1 species